rnacentral:rRNA from 1 species
CGAACGGAGAAUUGCUAGCUUGCUAAUAAUUCUCUAGUGGCGCACGGGUGAGUAACACGUGAGUACCUGCCCCCAAGAGUGGGAUAGCCCCGGGAAACUGGGAUUAAUACCGCAUAAAGCAAUAAAGCAGCAAUGCGCUUGGGGAUGGGCUCGCGUCCUAUUAGUUAGUUGGUGAGGUAACGGCUCACCAAGGCGAUGACGGGUAGCCGGUCUGAGAGGAUGUCCGGCCACACUGGAACUGAGACACGGUCCAGACACCUACGGGUGGCAGCAGUCGAGAAUCAUUCACAAUGGGGGAAACCCUGAUGGUGCGACGCCGCGUGGGGGAUAAGGUCUUCGGAUUGUAAACCCCUGUCAUGUGGGACAUUAAAAGAUAGUACCACAAGAGGAAGAGACGGCUAACUCUGUGCCAGCAGCCGCGGUAAUACAGAGGUCUCAAGCGUUGUUCGGAAUCACUGGGCGUAAAGCGUGCGUAGGCGGUUUCGUAAGUCGUGUGUGAAAGGCGGGGGCUCAACCCCCGGACUGCACAUGAUACUGCGAGACUAGAGUAAUGGAGGGGGAACCGGAAUUCUCGGUGUAGCAGUGAAAUGCGUAGAUAUCGAGAGGAACACUCGUGGCGAAGGCGGGUUCCUGGACAUUAACUGACGCUGAGGCACGAAGGCCAGGGGAGCGAAAGGGAUUAGAUACCCCUGUAGUCCUGGCA